rnacentral:lncRNA from 1 species
UAGAACCCUCAUCCAUUACUUCAUUGGGAAAUUGGCUUGAUUACUUCUAUUUUCUUUAGCAGGAGUUUAGAAAAUCUCUGAUGAUUUCUGGUUUUUCUUAGUUAAAUAUUGAUUGAAUCAAGGCUGAGUGUUGCUAUAUUUGUUGUUACCCUCAUUAGCUUGAAUUUCUAAAUCCUUACUCUAUUUUGCUUUGUGUUUUAUAUCCAAGUACCCUUUAAACUUUUGAAUGACCAGAGAAGUUGGG